ACUCAAAUGAAUAGACGGGGACUUGCACAAGCAGUGGAUUAUGUGGUUUAAUUCGAUGGUAAACGAAGAACCUUACCAGGGUUAGAAAUCCUAGUGAAAGCCCGAGGAAACUCGGGGCCUCGCAAGACUCUAGGACAGGUGAUGCAUGGCCGUCGUCAGUUCGUGGUUUGAAUUGUACCCUUAAGUGGGCUAACGAACGCAACCCUCGUUGACUGUUACAAGUGUCAGUCGAGACCGCCCCCACACCAGUUUUUGAAACUUUUCGAAAAUUGAUGUGGGGGAGGAAGGAGAGGAUGACGCCAGGUCAGCAUGUCCCUUUGAUAUCCUGGGCUACACACAUAAUACAAUGGCCGUUACAACGCGUUGCGAAGAGGCGACUCUGAGCUAAUCGUUCAAAAGCGGCCUCAGUUCGGAUUGGAGUCUGCAACUCGACUCCAUGAAGCUGGAAUUGCUAGUAAUCACAGGUCAGCUAAACUGUGGUGAAUACGUUCUCAAGUCUUGUACACACCGCCCGU
rnacentral:rRNA from 1 species